UUGCAGGCUGCAACUCGCCUGCAUGAAGUCGGAAUUGCUAGUAAUCGCGGAUCAGCAUGCCGCGGUGAAUACGUUCCCGGGCCUUGUACACACCGCCCGUCACACCAUGAGAGCCGGUAACACCCGAAGUCAGAAGCCUAACCGCAAGGGAGGGCGCUGCCGAAGGUGGGAUUGGUAAUUGGGGGUGAAGUCGUAACAAGGUACC
rnacentral:rRNA from 1 species